rnacentral:lncRNA from 1 species
CCAGGUGACUCACGGUGAAGAUCUCCACGAUGUCGUUGGAGGUUGUCCUCACGGGGUCCAUCAGGACCCAGAUGUCCCUGUCACCCCCAGAUGUUCCUCAAACCCCAGCCCAGGUGUGUCCCCAGGUGUCUCCAGCCCAGGUGUGUCCCCAGGUGUGUCCCCAGCCCAGGUGUGUCCCCAGAUGUCCCCAGGUGUGUCCCCAGGUGUCCCCAGGUGUGUCCCCAGCCCAGGUGACUCACGGUGAAGAUCUCCACGAUGUCGUUGGAGGUUGUCCUCACGGGGUCCACGUCCUUCUCGCUCAGCACCCGCAUGAGGCUGACGCCGUCGGUCUCCAGGAUCCACUCCUGGAGCGCCUUGAACUCCCCGUCCUCGGUGAUGAUGAUCUUCUUCUUGUUGUCCGUCUGCGGCAGGUGCAUGUACACCUGGCCAGGUGGGGACAGGGGUCACCACGGGCCACCACGGAUCACCACAGGUCAGCAUGGGUCAGCACGGGCCACCAUGGAUCACCACGGGUCACCACAGGUCACCACGGGUCACCAUGGAUCACCACAGGUCACCAUGGGUCACCAUGGGCCACCACAGGUCACCACAGGCCACCAUGGGUCACCACAGGUCACCAUGGGCCACCAUGGUGUCAUCACGGGUCACCAUGGGUUACCACGGGUCACCACGGGUCAGCAUGGGCCACCACAGGUCAGCAUGGGUCACCACUGGUCACCACGAGUCACCAUGGUGUCACCAUCGGCCACCACGGGCCACCAUGGGUCAACAUGGGUCACCACGGGCCACCAUGGGUCACCAUGGGCCACCAUGGAUCACCACUGGUCACCACGGGUCACCAUGGUGUCACCAUCGGCCACCACGGGUCACCAUGGGCCACCAUGGUGUCAUCACAGGUCACCAUGGAUCACCAUGGGCCACCACGGGCCAUCACAGGUCACCACAGGUCACCACGGGCCACCAUGGUGUCAUCACGGGUCACCAUGGGCCACCACGGGUCACCAUGGGCCACCAUGGAUCACUGCGGGCCACCACGGGUCACCAUGGGCCACUACAGCUGUCCUAGAUCUUCUAAAGGUCUCCUGGAACCUCCCAGAAGUCUCC